rnacentral:piRNA from 1 species
UAAAAGCUGAGGACCUUAUUUUUUAA